UACGUAGGGUGCGAGCGUUGUCCGGAAUUAUUGGGCGUAAAGGGCGCGUAGGCGGCCUGUUAAGUCGAACGUGAAAUCCCUGGGCUCAACCCAGGAACUGCGUCCGAUACUGGCAGGCUUGAAUCCGGGAGAGGGAUGCGGAAUUCCAGGUGUAGCGGUGAAAUGCGUAGAUAUCUGGAGGAACACCGGUGGCGAAGGCGGCAUCCUGGACCGGCAUUGACGCUGAGGCGCGAAAGCCAGGGGAGCAAACGGG
rnacentral:rRNA from 1 species